UAAUCGGCCCUUUUCAGGGCCAACAAUUCUUUAAACACGUGGACA
rfam:Habropoda laboriosa contig5014, whole genome shotgun sequence.